rnacentral:rRNA from 1 species
UACGGGGGGAGCAAGCGUUUGUUCGGAUUUACUGGGCGUAAAGGGCGCGUAGGCGGCCAGCACAAGUCAGUUGUGAAAUCUCCGAGCUUAACUCGGAACGGUCAAGUGAUACUGUCGGACUAGAGUACAGAAGGGGCAACUGGAAUUCUCGGUGUAGCGGUGAAAUGCGUAGAUAUCGAGAGGAACACCUGCGGCGAAGGCGGGUUGCUGGGCUGAUACUGAGUGAGGCGCGAAAAGCCCA